rnacentral:rRNA from 1 species
AUUGAACGCUGGCGGCAGGCCUAACACAUGCAAGUCGAACGAGUGGGGGACGGGUGAGUAAUGUCUGGGAAACAGCUCGAUGGAGGGGGUUAAUUACUGGAAACGGUAGCUAUUACCGCAUACCAUCAGCUGUGCCCUGAUGGGAUUAGCCUGUCGGUGGGGUAACGGCUCACCAAGGCGACGAUCCCUAGCUGAUCUGAGAGGGUGACCAGCCACACUGGAACUGAGACACGGUCCAGACUCCUACGGGAGGCAGCAGUGGGGAAUAUUGCGCAAUGGGCGAAAGCCUGAUGCAGCAAAGCCGCGUGUGUGAUGAAGGCCUUCGGGUUGUAAAGUACUUUCAGCAGGGAGGCGUUACCCACAGAGAAAGCACCGGCUAACUCCGUGCCAGCCGCCGCGGUAAUAC